rnacentral:rRNA from 1 species
UACGAAGGGGGCUAGCGUUGUUCGGAAUUACUGGGCGUAAAGCGCGCGUAGGCGGUUUUCCAAGUCGGGCGUGAAAGCCCCGGGCUCAACCCGGGAAAUGCGCUCGAAACUUGAAGACUGGAGGCCGGAAGAGGGUAGUGGAAUUCCCAGUGUAGAGGUGAAAUUCGUAGAUAUUGGGAAGAACACCAGUGGCGAAGGCGGCUACCUGGUCCGACACUGACGCUGAGGCGCGAAAGCGUGGGGAGCAAACAGG